GGUGGUGAGACGAGUGAGGGGCGUGGCCAGAAGGGCGUGGUCAGGGAGAAGGAGGCCCGGAUUUACUUUACCGGUGAGAAAAAGCCAGAGAUGCAGAGAGUGAAGUGGAGCCAAGGGCCGGACCUGUAGAUCUCUGUCCUGCACAUGUGAUGGGCUCCUGUCCUCAGGUCCAUUCGGAGCAGUGGCAGCUGUCCACCAGCCAGAUACCUGUUCAGCAAAUGCAUCUGUUUGACGUCCACAAUUACCCGGACUAUGUUUCCUCGGGCGGUGGAUUCGGGCCUGCUGAUGACCAUGGUUAUGGUGUUUCUUAUAUCUUCAUGGGGGAUGACAUGAUCACCUUCCACAUCUCCAGCAAAAAAUCAAGCACAAAAACGGAUUCCCACAGGCUGGGGCAGCACAUUGAGGACGCACUGUUGGAUGUGGCCUCCCUGUUCCAGGCGGGACAGCAUUUUAAGCGCCGGUUCAGAGGGUCAGGGAAGGAGAACUCCAGGCACAGGUGUGGAUUUCUCUCCCGCCAGACUGGGGCCUCCAAGGCAUCAAUGACAUCCACCGACUUCUGACUCCUUCCAGCAGGCAGCUGGCCUCUCCAGGGAAUAAGGGUGAAGAUUGUCACAGCUGGCUGACACAGGACAGGGGCAGCCAGUUUGGCAACCCCACAUCCAGGCCAAUAAAGAUGUGUGAGCUGGG
rnacentral:sRNA from 1 species